AGCCCCAAAAUCGCGUGCUCUCUCCAAAAUGUGGGGACAUUCGAUCUUUCGAUGAUCCCAACUCACCCCAACUCGAUCUCCCUUUUUUUUUCUCCUUUAAGUUUUUUUUUUUUUUUUGACUCUUUAUUGCCAAAGGGCAAAAGGAGCUUCUAGAGAGAGAAGGGAGAAAGUGGAAAGGAUGAUUCCUCCCACCUGGUUCUAGAGAGAGAUAAGAGAGAGUCAAAGUUGCAACAAUAAGU
rnacentral:lncRNA from 1 species